AUGGCAGCUUUUAUUUUUUUUUUUCUUUGUAACGGUUUUUUUUAUUUAUUAUUAACAUUUAUUAACAAAAUCAUUAAUUAUUCUUUUCCAAGUGUUAAAUUUAGUUAAACAAAUUGAGUGAUUUUAAUAGAAAAACAAUUGUUACAUUAAACAUUUGACACUUCUUUAUUGAUUAAUUAUAACCACAAAGAUUUAUAUGGCUUGUUAUUAAUAAAAAAUAAAUCAAUUGGUGUAUGUAUUAGUCAACAAUGAUAAACAAUUUCAAUUAACCUGUGUAAUUUUAGUUUUUCGUAUUUUAUUAUUAAUUAAUCAAAACAACUAUACAAUUAAAAAGAGGAAUAUUAAAGUUAUCUUGACACUUAUAACCUUUGACACUCAAAUGAUCAAAAAACCAUUAGUCAAAUGUAAUUGUUAGUUUAACAACAAUAACGAGGUGUAAAAAAAUAUGAAAGUCACUGUCAAAAGUUGGACAGGUGUUGCUACCUGGAGAUGGAUUGCAAAUGAUGAUAAUUGUGGUAUUUGUCGAAUGCCAUUUGAUGCAAGUUGUCCAGAUUGCAAAACUCCUGGUGAUGAUUGUCCACUAGUUUGGGGUCAAUGUUCUCAUUGUUUUCACAUUCACUGUAUUAUGAAGUGGUUGCAUUCGCAACAAACAAGUAGCUUGUGUCCCAUGUGCCGACAAGAGUGGAAAUUCAAGGAAUAAAUAAAGCCGGUAUCAUUUUCCUCCAGGUGUCACCACUCAAUUCAACAUCAGCAUACGAGAAAGAAUAGCAAUGUCGUCACUUCAAGGAUUACCACCAUUGCCAAGAAGUUUGAGUGGUUUUAAUAUUAAUGAAGGAAGAAGAGACGUUGGUGAACCACCAC
rnacentral:misc_RNA from 1 species